UCGGCAGGCCUAACACAUGCAAGUCGAACGGUAACAGGAAGAAGCUUGCUUCUUUGCUGACGAGUGGCGGACGGGUGAGUAAUGUCUGGGAAACUGCCUGAUGGAGGGGGAUAACUACUGGAAACGGUAGCUAAUACCGCAUAACGUCGCAAGACCAAAGAGGGGGACCUUCGGGCCUCUUGCCAUCGGAUGUGCCCAGAUGGGAUUAGCUUGUUGGUGGGGUAACGGCUCACCAAGGCGACGAUCCCUAGCUGGUCUGAGAGGAUGACCAGCCACACUGGGACUGAGACACGGUCCAGACUCCUACGGGAGGCAGCAGUGGGGAGUAUUGCACAAUGGGCGCAAGCCUGAUGCAGCCAUGCCGCGUGUAUGAAGAAGGCCUUCGGGUUGUAAAGUACUUUCAGCGGGGAGGAAGGGAGUAAAGUUAAUACCUUUGCUCAUUGACGUUACCCGCAGAAGAAGCACCGGCUAACUCCGUGCCAGCAGCCGCGGUAAUACGGAGGGUGCAAGCGUUAAUCGGAAUUACUGGGCGUAAAGCGCACGCAGGCGGUUUGUUAAGUCAGAUGUGAAAUCCCCGGGCUCAACCUGGGAACUGCAUCUGAUACUGGCAAGCUUGAGUCUCGUAGAGGGGGGUAGAAUUCCAGGUGUAGCGGUGAAAUGCGUAGAGAUCUGGAGGAAUACCGGUGGCGAAGGCGGCCCCCUGGACGAAGACUGACGCUCAGGUGCGAAAGCGUGGGGAGCAAACAGGAUUAGAUACCCUGGUAGUCCACGCCGUAAACGAUGUCGACUUGGAGGUUGUGCCCUUGAGGCGUGGCUUCCGGAGCUAACGCGUUAAGUCGACCGCCUGGGGAGUACGGCCGCAAGGUUAAAACUCAAAUGAAUUGACGGGGGCCCGCACAAGCGGUGGAGCAUGUGGUUUAAUUCGAUGCAACGCGAAGAACCUUACCUGGUCUUGACAUCCACGGAAGUUUUCAGAGAUGAGAAUGUGCCUUCGGGAACCGUGAGACAGGUGCUGCAUGGCUGUCGUCAGCUCGUGUUGUGAAAUGUUGGGUUAAGUCCCGCAACGAGCGCAACCCUUAUCCUUUGUUGCCAGCGGUCCGGCCGGGAACUCAAAGGAGACUGCCAGUGAUAAACUGGAGGAAGGUGGGGAUGACGUCAAGUCAUCAUGGCCCUUACGACCAGGGCUACACACGUGCUACAAUGGCGCAUACAAAGAGAAGCGACCUCGCGAGAGCAAGCGGACCUCAUAAAGUGCGUCGUAGUCCGGAUUGGAGUCUGCAACUCGACUCCAUGAAGUCGGAAUCGCUAGUAAUCGUGGAUCAGAAUGCCACGGUGAAUACGUUCCCGGGCCUUGUACACACCGCCCGUCACACCAUGGGAGUGGGUUGCAAAAGAAGUAGGUAGCUUAACCUUCGGGAGGGCGCUUACCACUUUGUGAUUCAUGACUGGGG
rnacentral:rRNA from 1 species